ensembl:piRNA 21ur-1444 ncRNA
UGGCGUGGUCUUUUUAAUUUC